AUGAACAAUCGCCGCCCACUUUGGUGCACUUGGACCGCGUACUCUGCACCUCGGAUUGGGAAGGCGCGCACGCAGACUGCCACUUGCGUUGCCUCGCGUCCGUCGUGUCAGACCACAGCCCACUCUUGCUCGAUUGCUCACCUACGCACACGGCGAGACGACGCUUCCAUUUUGAAGACUACUGGAUGCGCCUACCUGGGUUCCACGACACGGUGGCCACGGCAUGGGGAUCGGUCCAUGACUCGGAUCCUUUCCGUCGCUUGA
rnacentral:rRNA from 1 species